rnacentral:rRNA from 1 species
UAGAGUUUGAUCAUGGCUCAGAUUGAACGCUGGCGGAAUGCUUUACACAUGCAAGUCGAACGGUAACAGCAGAGCUUGCUCUGGUGGCGAGUGGCGGACGGGUGAGUAAUAUAUCGGAACGUAUCCAUUAAUGGGGGAUAACUAGCCGAAAGGUUAGCUAAUACCGCAUACGCCCUGAGGGGGAAAGCUGGGGAUCUUCGGACCUGGCGUUAAUGGGGCGGCCGAUACCUGAUUAGCUAGUUGGUGGGGUAAAGGCCUACCAAGGCGACGAUCAGUAGCUGGUCUGAGAGGACGACCAGCCACACUGGGACUGAGACACGGCCCAGACUCCUACGGGAGGCAGCAGUGGGGAAUUUUGGACAAUGGGGGCAACCCUGAUCCAGCCAUUCCGCGUGAGUGAAGAAGGCCUUCGGGUUGUAAAGCUCUUUCGCAAGGGAAGAAACGAUGUAGGUUAAUAGCUUAUGUUAAUGACGGUACC